rnacentral:lncRNA from 1 species
CUCAACCUUGCCCUCCUCAUCCUUCUUAUCUUCCUCAUCCUCAUCAUCAGAAAUCUCCUUCUCAGUGGUCUUCUCAGUCCAGAGAGAGAUGGGGUAGCUGAUGAACUCAGAGUGCUUCUUGAUCAGAUCCUUGAGGCGUCGCUCCUCAAGGUACUCCAACUGCAGAAAAUAGAAGAAAAUUAUAAGAGAGUGUUCAAACUGAUGGAAUUACUCUCAGAUAUUCAAACGUCAAAAACUCAAAUAUUCAGUAGAACAGUAAAUUUAAGACAGUUAAUGAUUAUCACUGUACAUCAACUUGUUGAUAUAAUCCCAAAAUAAUGUCAUAACUAGACACACAUGCAAAACAAAAUUUCAGUUUCUCUAUAAUUAUAGUAUCUGAAGAGCAAAGUUAUUCCAAAAAAAGACUACGAUUAGAUAAAUAGCAUGCUACAUUGUUCUUACCAAUCAGGGAAAUGCGUUAUCUAACAGCAAUAUCCCAAAUGAUCCUCUAAGAGUGAAUCUAAUGUAAUCCACAUUUACAGUUAGUUAUAACAAACCAAACAUAUUGGAGCUAUAUAUGCUUUCAAUUCAGCUUCCCAACAGAUCAGCACCACAAACUAACAUAGCAUAAUGGAACCGUGUGAUUUCAACAAAGGUACGACCAAAAAGCAUCAGCUGUAUCUAAAUAAUCCUAUAAAACAGUAAAUAACUAUGGCAGCAUCACCAAUAGUAAUUAACACACCACAGGCACUAAUCCGGGAAGUUUCUGCUAUACCUGAUCAUCCUUGAGGUAGAGGAUCAUCUUGGUACCCCUGCCAAGGGUCUCCCCAGAGGUAUCACGUGUGACGGUGAAGGAUCCACCAGCCUGAGACUCCCACACGUACUGCUCAUCGUCGUUGUGCUUGGUGGUCACAACAACUCUCUCAGCAACAAGGUAGGCAGAGUAGAAACCAACUCCAAACUGACCGAUCAUAGACACAUCAGCACCAGCAGCCAGAGCCUCCAUGAACUCCUUUGUUCCUGACCGUGCAAUGGUACCAAGGUUGUUCACGAGAUCUGACUUGGUCAUACCAAUACCACUGUCAAUGAUUGUCAGAGUGUUGGAGGCCUUGUCAGGAACAAUGUGGAUGAACAGCUCUGGCUGGGCAUCGAGCUUGCUCUUGUCCGUCAAGCUCUCAAACCUGAUCUUGUCCAAGGCCUGUCAAAGCCCACAAAAACAUUCAGGGUUGGAUUGAUACAUCAUUCAGUGCUUACAAAGUAAUUAAAUGAAACGUGCACAGCUUUCACUAUUAUUAUUUAUCAGGAGGUUAUUCUGUCAGAAUAGGGUAACAAGGUAUUUACUGCACUAAACACGAGUAACCACUACACACAAUCAAUUUAACCAUGUAGUUGUUGAAGCACCAACUACAAAGCCUUCUACCUUCCCAGCAUAAUCCAUUCUGACAUAGGAAGACCAGAUAAAUUUAUUUUGUCAAGACCAAUCAUGCUUGCAUUUGUACAUUCAAGAUUAGCACUGCAAUAAACACAAUUAACUGCAUCAACACGCAAUCAACUUAACCAUGUAGCUGUUGAAGCACGUACUACAAUAAACCAGCCUAGCAAAGAUUACAUUUAUCAAGAUCAAUCACGCUCUCACGGUUCUCGCUAGGGUUUCAGAUCGUUCAGAUUAGUCAUAAACCUUGCAAGUACAGAUGCCACAGACACAGCCGAGAUCUGACAAAAUUACUAUUUACGACUUCAGAAGUACAGGUUGAUAUGUCGUGGAUUUAAGCUGAAUAGUCAACCACGAACUAGCACAAAACCCUAUAUAACCCCCUAUCACCAGAUCCGAAGUACGAUGCGGAACCCACCGAUCCAUUGAACGACACGAGGGCUUAGCGCACAGAUCUAGAGCCGCAAACAGAAGAGCACGAGCGGGUAGGGGGGAAACUUACAUCGGAGGAGUUGGAGAUGAGCUCCCGGAGGAAGAUCUCCUUGUUGGAGUAGAAGGUGUUGAUGAUGAGGGAGAGCAGCUGGUUGAUCUCCGCCUGGAAGGCGAACGUCUCCGUCUCCGAGGCCAUGGCGAGACCUUGCUUCCGAACGCGAGGAGAGGGCGGCGGCGCUUGGGAGGAGGCGACGAGGGUUUGGGGGAAACCGAGGGAGCCUGAGAUGAGAUGGGGAGGCGGCCAGGCGGGUGCCCUGUGGGGUGAUAUAUUGGGGGCGGGUUGACUGACUUCCCGUUGGGCCGAAGUCUUCUAGGCCCAGCCGUGCUGGGGCUGGAGGCCCCGUGGCCCACGAGUCAGUGGGCGUUGUGUCUUUCUUUUUUCAGACUUGGAAGGUUCUAGAGCGAGGUGGGUUUAGAGCAUGAUUUACCUUACGAUUAACGGGCAGUUGGCAGGUCCAUCUACGAGCUCGUGUAUUGCUUGAUUUACGAAAGGUUUUUUGUUUUGAAAAAAAUAAUGAAGAGUCCAGUAUAAGAUUUGCACGAACUUUUUCUCGUGUUUUGAGUUGCGUUUGGGAGCUUUGAUAAUACGUCUGUCGACUGUCGUGAUCGCAAUAAUUUCCAAAUUCUGUGAAAUUUCUGCUCCGUUUAAGAACGGGAGAUAGUAGACACUGUCUCUAUUUAAUGCAACUUGCAGGGAAGCUUCUGGAAGGAAAUAUAAGUGUACUUUACCAAAAGAUUACCAUCUAAUUGUCUUUCCAUUUUAGGAGUUCGUAACAACCACACUGAUAAUGAAUAUACAGAACGGCGAGUGAUGUGUCAAACAAACACAUUUCAGAUUACGUGAACCCUCCUACACACCGCUAUAAACCAAUUUUGACGUGAAUUCUUUUUAGCCCUAUGCAGUUUGUAUCCUCAGAAAAAAAAGCAAAAGAAAAAAAAAUAUAAUCAUAUAGUAGACUUAUUUUGCAAUAGCUUAUAAUUCAAUGUACUUAUAGCUGAAUGCUAAGUUGCAGACAUAAAAGGAGAAAGCGAAAAAACAAUCCUUUCCUUCGCAGCGCGAGCCUAUUCCCUGAACCGGGGGACCAGGUGGAACAGCCAACGCCCAACAUGAACGGAGCUGGGUACACGAUCCCAGGCUUGAUAGCUUUUAUUAGUAAUUUGAAUUUGGGAUGCAAAUUUUGGUUCCAUGCGCGCAAUUGGUAAAUGGUAACAUCUGGACUUGUUGCGCGCACUCCAUCUAUCGUUUACAUGUGGGUUUAAUCAAAUCUAGUGUGUAAUGGAAAAAAUAAGGUGCUCUAGCUUUAGUUUCCUCACUAUUUUGCUAGCCGGUGUACUGGCGCGGCCUAAGGUAGUAAAAUAGUAUGAAACUGCUAAUUAUUUUCUUUGAACUAAAAAUUCUAGCGGAUUAUACACGGUUCUCCAAAUCUUACUCCCCAGGUACAUGUGGUGCUGCAUCUGCUUUAGAUUUGGAGGUGCAGGCCCGCAGUCCAUCACUGAAGUAAUGAAGCUACCAAUAAAUUGUGGAUGUAUUUUGAUAGGCAAAAAGUCUUCCGAAGUAUAUAUUGGCUCCUAGUUUCUCUUGCAACAUUUUGGCAAUCGCUACUAAGUAGUUAAUCUCAUCAUCAAGACAAUCUAUUGAUGUUACUUUAUUACUGCACUAAACGUGAUUUGACUGAGGUUAGUAACUUUUCAUGGAUUAAAAUAUGCCUUGCAUUCAUAAAUAGAGGGAGUAUCAUCUGAACCACAACUCCUAUUGUCUCCAGUUUGUUGGCCAUCACAUUCGAGUAAUAAAACUAUGUGUGUUAUUAGAAAAUAGUUCUGGUAACACUGAUGAAAAUUGCUGCAUCCUUGCAUAUUACUUUGAAAAUGCUAGUCAUACAUUGUAGAACCCAUAAUUCAUCUAUAAAGUAAAUGUUACGUCAGAUAUUAUACUCUAUCCAGCCCAAAUUAGUAUUAGCUGUUUUGAUUUUUCUAAAUUUAUAAAUUUUAUUAUGCACAACCGAAAUGAUUAAUAAUUUAGGAUAGAGGAGCCCUAUGUUCAUAUAUAAAGUACUUCAUUAAAAUGGCUAAGUUUAUUGCAUCAUGGUGCUACCACACUCUAAUUUUAUAUGUUAAGUACUACUACCCACUUUUUUAAUGGUUUGUAUUACCUUUUUUAUAUGAAAUACUCCCCAUUAACAUGGCUAAUGCACAUCAUUGCUGGAUUUACACGAUCAUAUGCACACUGAUCAGCCACCAAAUCUUUUUUUGGUGUAACAUAUCCACAUACAAUCACAAGUGCAGACCACUGCCUAGUGGUAAUCAACGCAGAGGCUGGGGCCAAAUUUUAUUAACCUCUCGGCUUGAAAAGCCACAGCUGAAUCCGCAAAACUCGCAAAUGCCCAGUUAAUUCGGAUCAACUACUAAAAAAAUGCACUGCAAGUGAAAGUAAAGUGGAUAAAUUGAGCUUAAGAAAAGAAAGUGAUACAAAAAUAGGGAUGAAAUUUGCAACAGAAAAUCUCUAACUCAUUUACCACCUACCAGAGCACGUUUGAAAUUGUUUUCAUAUAAAUAAUAUCAUCUCCAAUAACCAUAUUAAAUGAGUUUUUCAAUUUCUUAUUAGUUGCCACUGAUUAGUUUAAUACUAGUGAAACCGGCAAAAUUUCGGUUAAUCCUUUAUGUAUAUUAUCGUUACCGACCGUUUCCUAAAAGAACAGAUUGCAAAGCGAGAAAAAACAGUAAUUCGAAGACAGCAGGUUAAUAAUAACACUAUUAUACCACCGAUACUUAACCUACGCAGUUCGAUAAUCCACGGCACCAUAGCAUCUAGCCCCACGCAUUGCAGGCUAGGAAAAGUACCACACAAAACACACCGACAACUCAACUUUCAGGGAUAACCAGAACAGCUAAGCUAACUCAGACUCAAAAGUUGCACCCGGGCGCGCUUAGUCGACCUCCUCCAUCUUGCUCUCACCAGCGUCGUCCUCCAGAGGGGGCAUGUCGGUGUCAGCCUCCGGGGUCUCGUCCUCGUCGAUGCUCAGGCCCAGCUUGAGCAUGCGGUGAAUGCGGCUGCCGAAGGUGUUGGGGUCGUCAAGGCUGAAGCCAGAGGUGAGGAGCGCAGUCUCGAACAGCAGCAUGACAAGGUCCUUCACAGACUUGUCGUUCUUGUCAGCCUCAGCACGCUUGCGGAGCUCCUCCAUGAUGGCAUUCUCAGGGUUGAUCUCCAUGGUCUUCUUGGAGGACAUGUAUCCGGACAUGCUGGAGUCCCUCAGGGCCUGGGCCUUCAUGAUCCUCUCCAUGUUGGCAGUCCAGCCAUAUUCACCAGUGACCAGGCAGCAGGGGGAGUCCACCACACGGUCAGAGACCACCACCUUCUCAACCUUGUCACCCAGCACCUCCUUAAUCACCUUGCAGAGGCCCUCAAACUUCUCCUUGAGCUCCUCCUGCCUCUUCUUCUCGUCCUCAGUCUCAUCAAGCUUCAGGCCCUCCUUAGUGGCAGAGACGAGUUUCUUGCCCUCAAAUUCCUUCAGCUGGCCAAUGGCAUACUCAUCAAUUGCAUCCACCAUGUACAGGACUUCAUAGCCCUUCUUCUUCAGCUUCUCAAGGAAGGGGGAGUUCUCCACAGCCUUCUUGCUCUCACCAGUGAUGUAGUAGAUGUCGCUCUGGCCCUCCUUCAUCCUCGUCACAUAGUCCUUGAGGCUAGUCAGCUCAUCACCGCUCUUGGUGGAGUGGUACCUCAGGAGCUCAGCGAUCUUGGUCCUGUUCUGGGAGUCCUCGUGGAUGCCAAGCUUGAGGUUCUUGCAGAAGGCCUCAUAGAACUUGUUGUAGUCCUCCUUGUUCUCAGCAAUCUCGAAGAAGAGCUCAAUGCACUUCUUCACCAGGUUCUUGCGGAUAACCUUGAGGAUCUUGUUCUGCUGGAGGGUCUCACGGGAGAUGUUGAGGGGAAGGUCCUCAGAGUCAACGAUGCCCUUGACAAAGCUCAGCCACUCUGGGAUCAGCUCCUCACAGUUGUCCAUGAUGAAGACACGGCGCACAUAGAGCUUGAUGUUGUUCUGCUUCUUCCUGGUGUCGAAGAGGUCGAAGGGGGCCCUCUUGGGUACAAAGAGGACAGCCUUGAACUCAAGCUGACCCUCAACAGAGAAGUGCUUCACGGCAAGAUGCUCCUCCCAGUCGUUGGUCAAGCUCUUGUAGAAAGCAGCGUACUCUUCCUUGGUGAUCUCCUCAGGCUUCCUCAUCCAGAUAGGCUUCUGCUUGUUGACCAAUUGCCACUCGUGAGAAACCUCCUUGAUCUUCUUCUUUUUCUUCUCUUUCUCUUCCUUCUCCUCAUCAACAUCCUCAACCUUGCCCUCCUCAUCCUUCUUUUCUUCCUCAUCCUCAUCAUCAGAAAUUUCCUUCUCAGUGGUCUUCUCAGUCCAGAGAGAGAUGGGGUAGCUGAUGAACUCAGAGUGCUUCUUGAUCAGAUCCUUGAGGCGUCGCUCCUCAAG